AUAUUGCUUUGCAACAGUAUUACUCACGUAAUACAAUAAGACCUAUGGUCUUAUACAGUCAUUUUACAUGAUGUAAAAUGAUGCAUAUUUAAUUAUUAUGCAAUUGAACAAGACCGGUCUACUCCACAUCUUUGCUCUGAAGCCAAGGGCUAUUAGUGAUAAAACCGAAGGGCUAAAGCGAAAGAUAUGAUAAGCUGAAUCAGAAAUUGCAGAGACUUAUAAGGGAUUAUCAUAACUCCAAGAGCCGAUUUGCAAAAUCACCAAAGGAUAAGAAAAUCCCCAAUUUCUUCCCGUGUGUGCGGUUACCAAUUCCCUUUGGGAAUAACCGCUGCCGCCGGUUACCCGUGCACCACCGUGGAGAGGCGUCGCCGCCGUGCGUGCUGUCUGGCACCCCUCCUCCCUGGGAGGCCAAGCCGACAGCCCUGGUGGCGCAACUCUGGUUAUGAGUUCCAGUGCACCGCCGCCGGUCACGAGGACCAGUGUGCUGCGGUUGAUGUCGCCGCGUGAUAUGCUGCGCCUUCGCGCCUGGGUACCAGCAGCCGCACGCCACCAACGACACGGCAUCCACGCCGGAACCCGGGCCUUGCACCGAGCAGUCUGACGCCCCCUCUCCGUAGGGGUCGGUGCGCAGCCGUUGCCUCCGUCUGGGAGGACGAGUCUGCGUCUGGCCGCGCGCUGGAUGCUGAGCCGCGAGCCACCGAUCUUUCGAUGCGACGAUGCGCGCCGCGCGAGCUGCCAGUGACACCUAGCCAUGCGCCACGGACGACGUCCGCUCUGUAUCCAUGCAUCGGCGGCGCUGCGCCCUGUCUCCUGGAGCAUUGGGACAGGGCCGUCCGAGCAGGCGGACCCUGCGGGUGAGCAACCGCUGUUGCUCCUCCGCCAACCAGUCAAGUGAGCCCGCUGCCGCCACGACGUACAUACGAAACAAAAUCGGAGAAGGAGCACCUUAUUUCCCUUUUCUUUCUCAAGGAAAAUCUCUCCCGGACAGCGAUGAGCGUAGUGGUCGGAGUUGCUUUUCUCGUUGUCGUUGCCGGGUGUCGAGGCCGUGUCGCAGCGCAUCUCGCCGUUACGUGGCCGCACGCCGUCAAUGCCUGGCUAGUGACACCUCCUCCAAGUCGAAGGACGCCGUCGCCAUGACAUGCGCUGGUGAGUGUCAUGUCGCUCCGCCAUGCCUUGCUGUGGUGGCCUGUUCUUAGCGGAGAACGAAAGUGCUGAUAACGUGUUGUAAUAUCAAAGUAAAGAAGACAAAGGAGAGACACAAAUAAUUCUGUUAGUCUAUUGCAAUGUGAAAGACCCAUUUAUAUAUAGACUAAAGGGGUGUGUUGGGGAGACACCUCUUCCCCAACAGACACAUCCUUGAAGACA